CCUACGGGCGGCAGCAGUGAGGAAUAUUGGUCAAUGGCCGAGAGGCUGAACCAGCCAAGUCGCGUGAGGGAAGAAUGUCCUAAGGAUUGUAAACCUCUUUUGUCGGGGAGCAAAAAGGCUCUGCGGAGUCGUAUUGAGAGUACCCGAAGAAAAAGCAUCGGCUAACUCCGUGCCAGCAGCCGCGGUAAUACGGAGGAUGCGAGCGUUAUCCGGAUUUAUUGGGUUUAAAGGGUGCGCAGGCGGCGUGUCAAGCAAGCGGUAAAAUAGCGGGGCUCAACCCCGUCGAGCCGUUUGAACUGGCGCGCUUGAGUGCAGGAGGGUCAAUCGGAAUUCCUAGUGUAGCGGUGGAAUGCGUAGAUAUUAGGAGGAACACCAGUGGCGAAGGCGGAUUGCUAGACUGUAACUGACACUGAGGCACGAAAGCGUGGGGAGCAAACAGGAUUAGAUACCCGGGUAGUC
rnacentral:rRNA from 1 species